rnacentral:lncRNA from 14 species
GAAGAAGGUAAUAUCCUGACCCAGAAUCUAGAAGGAAGACUACAGAAGCGCUUUCACAGCUGGAAAUGCAAGUCCCUUUGUUCAUUUGCAGAGCAAAGUCUUAGUAUUGGCAUCGAGAACCGUAGUGGCUGUCCCUGGUCCUCCUCUACAGACAGAGCCAUCCUCAGUUCUACUCUGACUCAUUUCACUGGGAUUUCUUUUGAAAUAAACCAUUAACUUAAGGAGUGUUUGAAAGAUCGGACCCAUGAGAACUUGCUGUUUGUCACAGAUGGGCAGAAUGGUGAGAAAACUCAUGGGGAGGGAGAGCCAUUGUUGAACAUGGACUACUCCUUGCACAGCCAUUUAGAGGUUCAUGCAAAAUAACAAGUGCAACCAGCCGUAGCAGUAAUGGAAUACUGCCAAAACCGUGCUAUCAGAAUGCAGCCCAGCCCAGAAGAGAACUGAAACAGCUCCUUGAUUCCUGUUGGAAACCCUGGAAGUCAGAAUCAAGCACUCACUGUGAGGAAAGUGACCCACCCUCACUGUGUCACCCCCCAUGUGUCACAUUCCCACACGAAGGCCUGGCAGACUUGCAUCUGAAACACUGAAGGGCCGCUCUGACUGAAUUAGAAAUCUCUGCUAACUUGGUUGCCUCCUUCUUAGGUGUGUUGUAAAUGUUUCCAAACAAAUAUCCAUGUCUUCCAGUCUCUUACAGAGCGCACAGAAUAGAAUCAUAGAAGAGAUUGCUUUUAAUUUUUGUAACUAUAUUUCAUUUCUGUCUGAAUAAAAAUAAACUUAUUUCUGUUUAGGCA